rnacentral:antisense_RNA from 1 species
UCUGACCCGUUGGGCCGGGCCAGGUCGCGGACAACGUCGACCGUUUGUUUAAGAAGCGUGGACUCUUGUCCUGAGUGCACCGAGGCUUUCAGCCUGCGGGACAGUGGUGCGAUUUGCAUUAGAGCCUAUCUCCCAGGACUAUGGAAGCCCCAUGCAGGAACAUGGUUCUGAGACUUUGGGGGUUAUACCCUAAGCUUAGAGAACUGGAAAAGCCCCUGAAGUCCCGAGACCACAACCCUCCACCUUCUAAAGAUAAGACAAGUCACUGAAGGU